CUGGGAACUGGAAAGCAGCAGCUAGCACUGUCCCCUGGGUGACAGAGCUCCAAAGCCUCAGUGAAUGUAUGAGAGGGUUUCAUCUCUAGGACCCCAUAAAAUCAGAAGGCUGUGGGCCUGAGGUACCCCUGAAACCAAUAUCGGCAAAUAAAAGCUCCUACUGAGCGCAGACCGCGAGACCAGCAUCACUCUGCAUGGCGCAGCCUCUCAAACACCAGGAUGGAAAUGGAGGUGGAAGGAUAUACCAGCUAAGUUGCCAAGACUAGCCCAGGAGCCCAAUUCUGAUGACACCUGAACCAGAGCCGACAGCCUGCAUCUAGGUGGCGCUCGCCGCGCAGACCUGCAGUCCCGGCC